rnacentral:rRNA from 1 species
CAUAGGUUAAUGAGGCGAACCGGGGGAACUGAAACAUCUAAGUACCCCGAGGAAAAGAAAUCAACCGAGAUUCCCCCAGUAGCGGCGAGCGAACGGGGAGCAGCCCAGAGCCUGAAUCAGUAUGUGUGUUAGUGGAAGCGUCUGGAAAGGCGCGCGAUACAGGGUGACAGCCCCGUACACAAAAAUGCACAUGCUGUGAGCUCGAUGAGUAGGGCGGGACACGUGGUAUCCUGUCUGAAUAUGGGGGGACCAUCCUCCAAGGCUAAAUACUCCUGACUGACCGAUAGUGAACCAGUACCGUGAGGGAAAGGCGAAAAGAACCCCGGCGAGGGGAGUGAAAAAGAACCUGAAACCGUGUACGUACAAGCAGUGGGAGCACGCUUAGGCGUGUGACUGCGUACCUUUUGUAUAAUGGGUCAGCGACUUAUAUUCUGUAGCAAGGUUAACCGAAUAGGGGAGCCGAAGGGAAACCGAGUCUUAACUGGGCGUUAAGUUGCAGGGUAUAGACCCGAAACCCGGUGAUCUAGCCAUGGGCAGGUUGAAGGUUGGGUAACACUAACUGGAGGACCGAACCGACUAAUGUUGAAAAAUUAGCGGAUGACUUGUGGCUGGGGGUGAAAGGCCAAUCAAACCGGGAGAUAGCUGGUUCUCCCCGAAAGCUAUUUAGGUAGCGCCUCGUGAAUUCAUCUCCGGGGGUAGAGCACUGUUUCGGCAAGGGGGUCAUCCCGACUUACCAACCCGAUGCAAACUGCGAAUACCGGAGAAUGUUAUCACGGGAGACACACGGCGGGUGCUAACGUCCGUCGUGAAGAGGGAAACAACCCAGACCGCCAGCUAAGGUCCCAAAGUCAUGGUUAAGUGGGAAACGAUGUGGGAAGGCCCAGACAGCCAGGAUGUUGGCUUAGAAGCAGCCAUCAUUUAAAGAAAGCGUAAUAGCUCACUGGUCGAGUCGGCCUGCGCGGAAGAUGUAACGGGGCUAAACCAUGCACCGAAGCUGCGGCAGCGACGCUGAUGCGUUGUUGGGUAGGGGAGCGUUCUGUAAGCCUGCGAAGGUGUGCUGUGAGGCAUGCUGGAGGUAUCAGAAGUGCGAAUGCUGACAUAAGUAACGAUAAAGCGGGUGAAAAGCCCGCUCGCCGGAAGACCAAGGGUUCCUGUCCAACGUUAAUCGGGGCAGGGUGAGUCGACCCCUAAGGCGAGGCCGAAAGGCGUAGUCGAUGGGAAACAGGUUAAUAUUCCUGUACUUGGUGUUACUGCGAAGGGGGGACGGAGAAGGCUAUGUUGGCCGGGCGACGGUUGUCCCGGUUUAAGCGU